GGGGGUGUACCGGUUUCGACGGGGAUGAGGAAGCGGGAUAAGCGGGCGGAUGCGCCCAGCAUCCAUAAAAUGGGCAACUUAUAAAUUAAAGAACAACAACACUGUUGCUGUUGCUGCCUAAGUAGGCGGCCGUCUGAACCGGGAGGGCCACAGACCGGGGAAGGCGUCGUUGAUGUGGCGUCCGUGAGGCGGGAAAGAGUUGACCCGCCCACGCAUCAUGACUCUCACCUGACCGCGCAGGCGUGACGGCUUGCCUAGCGGGAGGGGAACAGGGCGGUAACGCCGCCCAAGAUAACCGUCUGCGCCCGGAGAAGGUCCCGUGGAAUUGUUUUCGGACAGGGGUUCGACUCCCCUCACCUCCACCA
rnacentral:tmRNA from 1 species